UGUUGAGCCUUUAGAUAUGUCACUAGGAUUUUAGGUCGACAUAAAUUAAAAUUGAUUUUUUUCACUCAGAGAAUAUUAAGAUACUGAAAUUAUCUAUGUAUUAUCUGAAAUUUGCGGGAUCAAACAGUU
rnacentral:snoRNA from 1 species